rnacentral:rRNA from 1 species
GACGAAGGAUGCAAGCGUUAUCCGGAUUCAUUGGUUUGAAAGGGUGCGUAGGUGGGCAGGUAAGUCAGUGGUGAAAUCUCCGAGCUUAACUCGGAAACUGCCAUUGAUACUAUCUGUCUUGAAUAUCUGGAGGUAAGCGGAAUAUGUCAUGUAGCGGUGAAAUGCUAGAUAUGACAUAGAACACCAAUUGCGAAGGCAGCUUACUACGGAUAUAUUGACACUGAGGCACGAAAGCGUGGGGAUCAAACAGG